rnacentral:ncRNA from 1 species
UGUCUAAUUAAAACAUAGCAUUGCGAUGGCCAGAAAGUGAUGUUGACGCAAUACGAUUCCUGUCCAGUGCUCCGAAUGUCGAAGUGAAGAAAUUCAAACAAGCGCGGGUAACCGGUACGUGAGCCUCAUCCCUUAUUUUCUGUUUUUAUCAUUUUAUU